GUAGGGAAUAUUGCGCAAUGGACGAAAGUCUGACGCAGCGACGCCGCGUGAGUGAUGAAGGCCUUAGGGUCGUAAAGCUCUGUUGAAUGGGAAGAAAAAAAUGACGGUACCAUUCGAGGAAGGACCGGCUAACUUCGUGCCAGCAGCCGCGGUAAUACGAGGGGUCCUAGCGUUGUUCGGAAUCAUUGGGCGUAAAGGGUGUGUAGGUGGCCAUGUAAGUCAGGUGUGAAAGCCCCGGACUCAACCCGGGAAGUGCACUUGAUACUGCGUGGCUUGAGUACCGAAGAGGGUAGUGGAAUUCCAGGUGUAGUGGUGAAAUACGUAGAUAUCUGGAGGAACACCGGUGGCGAAGGCGGCUACCUGGUCGAGUACUGACACUGAGACACGAAAGCAUGGGGAUCAAACAGGAUUAGAUACCCUUGUAGUCC
rnacentral:rRNA from 1 species